ensembl:lncRNA
CUGUGGUCACCUUGCCCCUGGACACACAGCAACCUUGGCUUGUUGAGCCCUGUGGCCUCUCCACUUGUAAUCAGACAAGUCCUCCCAGGUUGUCAAACCUUGGAACUUCUGGGGACACAGCGAUAAACGAGACCCAGGACAAGUGGGGAAGAGAAAUACAUAAAUCACCAAUUAUCAGACUGUAGAGUGUCUUGACAAGCCCAACACAGAGGUGCUGUGGGUGCACUGAGGCAGCACCUGACCCCAUGGCGGGGUCAGGGAAGGCUUCCUGGAGGAGGUGACACAAGCUGGAUUCUGAGUGUUUCAUAAGGAACAAGAGCAUCAGAACCGCUCCGGCCGGCUCUGCACACCAUGCUUUAUGGACGUGAUCAGUGAGCCUCGAAGCAGCCCGCAGUGCAGAGCCUCUGCCCUCCACAGAGAAGGAGCCUGAGGUUCACGUGGAUUAACUCGUCCAAGACCACAGGGCAGGUGGCAGCUGAAGACUGAGAUUCAGAGAGGUCAAGCAACUCACCAUAAGUCAUACAGCUAGGAAGGGAGCCGAACCUAGAUUUGAACCUGGAUCUGUGUAACUCCAGAGCCUGAAUGCUUAACUACUAUACAAACUGCAAUCCAUGUGGCUUCGUGAAUCCAUUCUUUCCACAAACAGCAUUCCAGGAAUGUUCAUUGAGUGCUUACUAUGAACCAGGCAUUGUACAAGGCGAUGAGAUUCAACAGUGGAAAAGCAAAGUCCCUCCCCUUAGAGGCAUAGUCUGGUGGGAAACAGACAUCAGUCACAGAAAUCUCACACACGUUAUAAUUACAGACCCUCCCAGAUGCUCUGCAGGGAAAGUGCUGCAGCGACAGAGGCAUUGGACGGCAGGACCUGGACUUGCAUGGGAGUCAGAGGGGAUCCUGCCAGGAAGCAGUCUCUUGUAAAGGCUCCUUCAGGCAGUGUUUUAGAAAACCAGAACGAAGGCCAGCAUGGCUGGAGCCCAGAGAGCAAGCGAGAGUGGUGCAGGAUGGGAUGGAGAGUGGACAGGGACCAAAUCAGUCAGGGCCCUGUAGGCCAGGGCAUGGGACUUGGGAUUCACAGAGAGCGCACAGGAAGCUUUUAAAGGGUUUUCAAUAGAUCUGGGAAUUCAGAUUUGCUCUUUAGAAAGAUCACUCCUGCUGCUGUUGGGAGACCAGACUGGAAGGGGCAGUGGGUGCCGUGGUCCAGAGGAAAGGCGACGUGGCUUGAGUGGGAUGGUAGUGACGAGGGAAGGAAGAAGUGCAGGAUUCAGGAUACGGUUUCAAAAGUGAGGCCAACAGGAUUGGAUGUGGGCUGCAAGAGAGAAGACCCGAGAGUGACUGGGACACCUGGAUGAAUCUGGGUGCCUUUACUGAGAUGGGGAAUGCUGCGGGAGGAGCAGGUUUAGGGGAGAAAUGGGAGUUUGCUGUUGCUGAGUUUGAGGUGUCUAUAAUUAUCCAAGUGGAGGGGGAGAGCUGUUCUCAUCUCUGUCCCCAGAGGAGGCACAAGAUAGGUGCUUAUUAAAAACAUCUUUAGAUAAAAGCUUGCACAGAUGGCAGAGUUUGAGUCCAGUCUUGAAGCAUGGAUGGGAUUUGGCCUUGAGAUGAAGACAUUUUGGUGCCUGAGCUCAAAACAAAACAAAACCCAAACAGAACAGUUGGAGCACAUGAAGGAACAAGGACAGACUGCGACGUCGCAGUGGCCUGGGGGCGCCUGCUGUUGCUGCUCACCAAGGCUUUUUGCACCUUUGCCUGUAACACUGAGCCGUCCUCUGCAGAGCGUGAGAAGAAAUCAGCUAGAAAGAAAAAUUAUGCUUGUGUUAAGCGGAGGAUUCCAGGGUGUAUUUGUGGGAAGAUUAGCCCUGAGCUAAUAUCUGCUGCCAAUCCCCGUCUUUUUGCUGAGGAAGACUGGCCCUGAGCUAACAUCCAUGCCCAUCUUCCUCUACUUUCUAUGUGGGACGCCUGCCACAACAUGGCCUGACAAGUGGUGCCAUGUCCGCACCUGGGAUCCGAACCAGCGAACCCCGGGCCGCCAAAGCAGAACACGCACACUUAACCACGGCACCACCGGGCUGGCCCCAGUAAAUAUUUUUAAAAAUCAUUAAAUUAUACCC